AAAAGGAGACCAAAGAUUUGCUAGCCAUUCUUUCCCUUUUUUCUCUCCACAUAUCUCAUCUGGGAACCUUUAUAUAUGCAGUAUUUAUAUCAUGUUACAUUGGUAAUUAUAAAGUGACCUAGGAUGCUAGGAGAGCUGACCAACAGAGAAGGGAAAGCAUUCUGUUCUGACCAUAGUGACAUAAGGAAUUCAGUUCACACCAAACAUCAUUCCAGCAUGUCUCUCCCAUUUAGUAACAUCCUAGCACUUAAAGCCUCUUAACAUAAGCCCAGUACUAGCUCUUUCUCUUUGUAUUUCAUCUCUCUCUCUCUCUCUACUAUCUUCUGUUCUAUGUUCCUA
rnacentral:lncRNA from 1 species